UUCGACCGUUCAUCGAGAUGUGUUUCUGGGCUCGCGUGACAUGGAUGAAGAUAAAUACGCGCCCUCGGAUACGCACACGUGCUAGUAAUCCAAGGNUCGCAACUAGAAAAGGUAGGUAAGUAAAGUCUUGUGAGGGAUAGUAAACCAAGUGAGCGAUCAAAGUUGUAACGAGUAUGAUUAUCAGUUGCAACCAAAAUUCGCUACUGUACCAAUAUACUUGCCGUAGAUUUCCUGUGGGCUUUGUAAAGUCAGUCUCUUGCCAGGCCUGUGGGCAUAUUCUAGCUGAUCCUACCUAAUCAACCAUGCAAUGCAGGGAUUUUCCAGGCCCUGCAUACUUAAAUGCAAUAUCAAUAAGCGGAGGAGGUCUUGGUCAAUUAGAGGAAGUAAAAGUCGUAACAAGGUUUCCGUAGGUGAACCUGCGGAAGGAUCAUUACCGGGCUGAGGGGCGAAACCCCCCGACUCCCAACCCCUUGCCUACCUACCACGUUGCUUCGGCGGGCCGGGGCGUCUGACGCCCCCGCCCUCGCGGCGAGCGCCCGCCGAAGGUGCACCGAACCCUGAUCCGUCACCGUCGUCCGAGCGAACGCGAAAACAAGUCAAAACUUUCAACAACGGAUCUCUUGGUUCUGGCAUCGAUGAAGAACGCAGCGAAAUGCGAUAAGUAAUGUGAAUUGCAGAAUUCAGUGAAUCAUCGAAUCUUUGAACGCACAUUGCGCCCCUUGGUAUUCCGAGGGGCAUGCCUGUCCGAGCGUCAUUUCACCAAUCAAGCCCCGCUUGGUAUUGGGCCUCGUCCGAUCAGGACGGGCCUCGAAGCCCCCGGCCGGGUGGUCCCGCUUCAAGCGUAGCAGAGCUUUCGCAGCCUCGCUUUGGAAGCCGGCGGCCCCGUCGCGCCGCGAAAGAGACCUCACACCGAAGGUUGACCUCGGAUCAGGUAGGGAUACCCGCUGAACUUAAGCAUAUCAAUAAGCGGAGGNUGUGGAGAGACCCCUGGGCACCGUGAGAUUUCAUCAAGAUGGNUUAAUGGGGGGG
rnacentral:rRNA from 1 species